AUAUAAACCAAGUGACGGGCAGUAUUUGUGAAGGUGUGAUAUCUUUGCUUUGUCUGUAUACUACAUGUGUUAGAUCAGUUAAACUAGAAUGGACGUCACCUGCUAAGCCCAAUGGCAUUCUGGGAGGAUAUGACGUGUGGCAGACUCUGCAGCAGUGCGAGAAGCUGCAGACCCAGCAGGCGUAUGCUCCUCAGGCUCACUGCUCGUACCUGGAGUGCCCUGCAGAACAAGACUGCUAUAAGCCUGAGACACAGGUAUGCUGUGCAGGGACUGUUCACAGUCUAAAUCAUUCUCAUCAGUGUUGUGAAGAGAGUUAUGUUCCAGCUCUGGGAGUGUGUGUUGUGGAGGUCAGUUUGUCCAGCCUCUGUCUCAACACCAGUGUUGUGGAGGAUAUUACGUACUUGUCCCACCAGUUAUUUACUGCAUUGAGCAAGUUAGGCUGCAUAAUAUAUACGUAAAAUAUACGUCACAAUAUUUCUUCCUUUUUUUAAACAUUCUUUUGUUUUACAUUACAUACUUUAGUUAAUUGUUCUAUAUGUGUUCGAAGAAGAGGUCUGUUGUCCGGACUCUGAGGAACGGUGUGUAUCUGUAGGUCUCGGGGACUCAUGCUGUGGUGGGAGUCCUUUCAUGUCUGGAGCCGGGCAGAUCUGCUGUGGGGGGCGUCUUUAUGAUGGCUUCAGCUCCCAGUGCAGUGGAGGACAGCUAGUUCCUAGAGAGACAGUGCUCUGACCAAGGGAUGCCCCAUAAACAUGUAUCAGGUCAGUUUGGAGAAGCAUGCAUGCCUGCAAUGUAAACAAACAUUAAAAGGUUUGGGGUCAUUAAAGUUUCUUAUGGUCACCAAGGCUGCAUUUAUUUAAUCAGGAAUGCAGUAAAUGGUAAUAUUGUGAAAUAUUACACUUUAAAACAACUGUUUUCUAUUUUAAUAUAUUUAAAAAUGUAAUUUAUUCCUGUGAUGCAAAACUGAAAUUUCAGCAGCCAUUACUCCAGUCUUCAGUGUCACAUGAUCCUUCAGAAAUCAUUCUAAUCGGCUCAUUUGCUGCUCAAGAAACAUUCUUACUAUUAUAAAUGGUAAUAGUAUUUUAGAUGUGCUAAUAUUUUUUUGAGAAAACCAUGAUAAAUUUAUUUUUCAGGGUUCAUUGAUUAAAAUACAUUUUAAAAGAACAACAUUUAUUUGGAACAGAAAUCUUUUGUAAUGUUAUAAAUGUCUUUACUGU
rnacentral:lncRNA from 12 species